UGGUUCUGGCAUCGAUGAAGAACGCAGCGAAAUGCGAUAAGUAAUGUGAAUUGCAGAAUCCAGUGAAUCAUCGAAUCUUUGAACGCACAUUGCGCCCUCUGGCAUUCCGGAGGGCAUACCUGUUCGAGCGUCAUUACAACCCUCAAAGAUGUCUCUUUGGCGUUGGGCAAUGCCCGGAGGCAUGCCUUAAAAUCAGCGAUGGCGGCCUUUGGCCACGGGCGCACAAACGUGCCUAGCCGGUCGGACGUCGCGGUCGAUUGACGAAUCUCCAAAUGUUGACCUCGGAUCAGGUAGGGAUACCCGCUGA
rnacentral:misc_RNA from 1 species